CCCUACCAUCGCCCCCAUCAUUCCACCCAAAUCCACAAUUUUGCCCAUAAACGGCCACCACCGCAAUCAAACCAACACCAAUCGCCAAAAAUUAUUUUCUUUGCUUUACAACUCAACAUACUUUUACAAGACUGAUAUUUAAUGGCGGGUAUGUGCUGUGAGGUGAAUAUUGGUGAGACAGGAAUGUCUGCACCUGGGGAGCGGAGUUCAAAAUUUGGCAGAAGGAGAAUGAAAAUUCACUAGUUUAAGUUUCUACGCUCCGAUUCCUCGGUGGAUCCAUCGCUAGAGAAUGGUAAAAAGAAGAACUGUUCCGGUUUCACCUCCUCAUCUCCUUCAUUUUGCCUCUCGAUCGCAUUUCUUGGUCUCUAGAGCUGGCGUCGACACAACUGCUAAAGUCACCGUGUGAUGGUGCCCAGCGAUGGUCGAAAGUAGCAGGUUUAGUUUGGGGUAG
rnacentral:lncRNA from 1 species